AUGAUCACGGGCACGGACUUCUACCACGUCAUGACGGCGAUGGUGCCGCUGUACGUGGCGAUGAUGCUCGCGUACGGCUCCGUCAAGUGGUGGCGCAUCUUCACGCCGGACCAGUGCUCCGGGAUCAACCGCUUCGUCGCGCUCUUCGCCGUGCCGCUGCUCUCCUUCCACUUCAUCUCCACCAACAACCCCUACACCAUGAACCUCCGCUUCAUCGCCGCCGACACGCUGCAGAAGCUCAUCGUGCUCGCGCUGCUCACGCUCUGGAGCCACCUCUCCCGCAACGGCUCCCUCGAGUGGACCAUCACGCUCUUCUCCCUCUCCACGCUGCCCAACACCCUCGUCAUGGGCAUCCCGCUCCUCAAGGGCAUGUACGGCGACGAGUCCGGCAGCCUCAUGGUGCAGAUCGUGGUGCUCCAGUGCAUCAUCUGGUACACGCUCAUGCUCUUCAUGUUCGAGUACCGCGGCGCCAGGAUCCUCAUCACCGAGCAGUUCCCCGACACCGCCGGCGCCAUCGCCUCCAUCGCCGUCGACCCGGACGUCAUGUCGCUCGACGGCAGGAGGGACAUGAUCGAGACGGAGGCGGAGGUCAAGGAGGACGGCAAGAUUCACGUCACCGUGCGCCGCUCCAACGCCUCCCGCUCCGACAUAUACUCGCGCCGCUCCAUGGGGUUCUCCAGCACCACGCCGCGCCCCAGCAACCUCACCAACGCCGAGAUCUACUCGCUGCAGUCGUCGCGGAACCCCACGCCCCGGGGCUCCAGCUUCAACCACACCGACUUCUACUCCAUGGUGGGCCGCAGCUCCAACUUCGCCGCCGGGGACGCGUUCGGCCCGGUGGUGCGCACCGGCGCCACCCCGCGUCCGUCCAACUACGAGGAGGACAAGGCCGGCAACAACAACAACAGCAAGUACGGGCAGUACCCGGCGCCCAACCCCGCGAUGGCGGCGCCGCAGAAGCCGGCCAAGAAGGCGGCCAACGGGCAGGCCAAGGGCGAGGACGGCAAGGACCUGCACAUGUUCGUGUGGAGCUCCAGCGCGUCGCCCGUGUCCGACGUGUUCGGCAACGGCACCGAGGCGUACAACGACGCCGCCGCCAAGGACGUCCGCGUGGCCGCCGCCUCGCCGCGCAAAGCGGACGGCGUGGAGCGUGACGAGUUCAGCUUCGGGAACAAGGAGAGGGACGCGGAGGCCGGCGACGAGAAGGCCGCGGCGGAGCAGGGCACCGCGGGCCUGGUGGCGGCGCCCACGGUGAUGCCGCCGACCAGCGUGAUGACCCGCCUCAUCCUCAUCAUGGUGUGGCGCAAGCUCAUCCGCAACCCCAACACCUACUCCAGCCUCAUCGGCCUCAUCUGGUCCCUCGUCUGCUUCCGGUGGAACUUCGUCAUGCCGGCGAUCAUCAUGAAGUCCAUCGCCAUCCUGUCCGACGCCGGCCUCGGCAUGGCCAUGUUCAGCCUCGGGCUGUUCAUGGCGCUGCAGCCGCGGAUCAUCGCGUGCGGGAACAAGCGGGCGACGUUCGCCAUGGCCGUGCGGUUCUUGACCGGCCCGGCCGUCAUGGCCGCCGCCUCCAUCGCCGUCGGCCUCCGCGGCACCCUCCUCCACAUCGCCAUCGUGCAGGCAGCGCUGCCCCAGGGCAUUGUCCCCUUCGUCUUCGCCAAGGAGUACAGCGUGCACCCCGACAUCCUCAGCACGGCUGUCAUCUUCGGCAUGCUCAUCGCGCUGCCCAUCACGCUGGUCUACUACAUCCUGCUGGGGCUGUGA
rnacentral:rRNA from 1 species